CAGUAGCCGCGGUAAUACGUAGGUGGCAAGCGUUGUCCGGAAUUAUUGGGCGUAAAGCGCGCGCAGGCGGAUCAGUCAGUCUGUCUUAAAAGUUUGGGGCUUAACCCCGUGAGGGGAUGGAAACUGCUGAUCUAGAGUAUCGGAGAGGAAAGUGGAAUUCCUAGUGUAGCGGUGAAAUGCGUAGAUAUUAGGAAGAACACCAGUGGCGAAGGCGACUUUCUGGACGAAAACUGACGCUGAGGCGCGAAAGCGUGGGGAGCAAACAGGAUUAGAUACCCGGGUAGUCCCUGUCUCUUAUACA
rnacentral:rRNA from 1 species